rnacentral:rRNA from 1 species
UACGAAGGGGGCUAGCGUUGUUCGGAAUUACUGGGCGUAAAGCGCACGUAGGCGGAUACUUAAGUCAGGGGUGAAAUCCCGGGGCUCAACCCCGGAACUGCCUUUGAUACUGGGUAUCUCGAGUCCGGAAGAGGUGAGUGGAAUUCCGAGCGUAGAGGUGAAAUUCGUAGAUAUUCGGAGGAACACCAGUGGCGAAGGCGGCUCACUGGUCCAUUACUGACGCUGAGGUGCGAAAGCGUGGGGAGCAAACAGG